rnacentral:rRNA from 1 species
UACGGGGGGAGCAAGCGUUGUUCGGAUUUACUGGGCGUAAAGGGCGCGUAGGCGGCGUAACAAGUCACUUGUGAAAUCUCCGGGCUUAACCCGGAGCGGCCAAGUGAUACUGUUGUGCUAGAGUGCGGAAGGGGCUACUGGAAUUCUCGGUGUAGCGGUGAAAUGCGUAGAUAUCGAGAGGAACACCUGCGGCGAAGGCGAGUCCCUGGACGAUUUCUGACGCUGAGGCACGAAAGCUAGGGGAGCAAACAGG